CAGCUUUCUCCUAAGAUGAGGCUGAGGUCUCUGGGGAAGGCAGAGUGUAGUCUAGAAGAAGAUGAGGCUGUUGGGUCUUCUCCUUUGCCUGGUGACGGCUCCCCAAGGUGUCCUGUCCCAGGUGCAGCUGAAGGAGUCGGGCCCAGGACAGGUGAAGCCCUCACAGACCCUCUCCCUCACCUGCACUGUCACUGGAGGCUCCAUCACAAGCAGGUAUUAUGGCUGGAGCUGGAUCCGCCAGACCCCAGGGAAGGGGCUGGAGUACAUUGGGAGCAUAGCUUAUAGUGGUAGCACUUACUACAGCCCAUCCUUCAAGAGCCGCGCCUCCAUCUCCAGAGACACGUCCAAGAACCAGUUCUCCCUGCAGCUGAGCUCCGUGACCACCGAGGACACGGCCGUUUAUUACUGUGCAAGUGACACA